rnacentral:pre_miRNA from 1 species
ACAACAUUCAGACCGUCGAUCUACCGAGCAAUAUCACCUGUUUGGUAGAAGAUUUUCCCUCCGUCGU